rnacentral:rRNA from 1 species
GAUGAACGCUGGCGGCGUGCCUAAUACAUGCAAGUCGAGCGAACGGACGAGAAGCUUGCUUCUCUGAUGUUAGCGGCGGACGGGUGAGUAACACGUGGAUAACCUACCUAUAAGACUGGGAUAACUUCGGGAAACCGGAGCUAAUACCGGAUAAUAUUUUGAACCGCAUGGUUCAAAAGUGAAAGACGGUCUUGCUGUCACUUAUAGAUGGAUCCGCGCUGCAUUAGCUAGUUGGUAAGGUAACGGCUUACCAAGGCAACGAUGCAUAGCCGACCUGAGAGGGUGAUAGGCCACACUGGAACUGAGACACGGUCCAGACUCCUACGGGAGGCAGCAGUAGGAAAUCUUCCGCAAUGGGCGAAAGCCUGACGGAGCAACGCCGCGUGAGUGAUGAAGGUCUUCGGAUCGUAAAACUCUGUUAUUAGGGAAGAACAUAUGUGUAAGUAACUGUGCACAUCUUGACGGUACCUAAUCAGAAAGCCACGGCUAACUACGUG